rnacentral:rRNA from 1 species
GAUGAACGCUAGCUACAGGCUUAACACAUGCAAGUCGAGGGGCAGCAUGGUCUUAGCUUGCUAAGGCCGAUGGCGACCGGCGCACGGGUGAGUAACACGUAUCCAACCUGCCGUCUACUCUUGGACAGCCUUCUGAAAGGAAGAUUAAUACCUGAUGGUAUGAUGAGAUUGCAUGAUAGCAUCAUUAAAGAUUUAUCGGUGUACGAUGGGGAUGCGUUCCAUUAGGUAGUAGGCGGGGUAACGGCCCACCUAGCCAACGAUGGAUAGGGGUUCUGAGAGGAAGGUCCCCCACAUUGGAACUGAGACACGGUCCAAACUCCUACGGGAGGCAGCAGUGAGGAAUAUUGGUCAAUGGACGAGAGUCUGAACCAGCCAAGUAGCGUGAAGGAUGAAGGUCCUACGGAUUGUAAACUUCUUUUAUAAGGGAAUAAACCCUCCACGUGUGGAGCUUGUAUGUACCUUAUGAAUAAGCAUCGGCUAACUCCGUG